GGACGAACGCUGGCGGCGUGCUUAACACAUGCAAGUCGAGCGAUGAAGUCUUCGGGAACGGACUAGCGGCGGACGGGUGAGUAACACGUGGGUAACCUGCCUCAUAGAGGGGAAUAGCCUUUCGAAAGGAAGAUAAUACGCAUAAGAUUGUAGCUUCGCAUGGAGCAGCAAUUAAAGGAGUAAUCCGCUAUGAGAUGGACCCGCGUCGCAUUAGCUAGUUGGUGAGGUAACGGCUCACCAAGGCGACGAUGCGUAGCCGACCUGAGAGGGUGAUCGGCCACAUUGGGACUGAGACACGGCCCAGACUCCUACGGGAGGCAGCAGUGGGGAAUAUUGCACAAUGGGGGAAACCCUGAUGCAAGCGAACGCCGCGUGAGUGAUGACGGUCUUCGGAUUGUAAAACUCUGUCUUCAGGGACGAUAAUGACGGUACCUGAGGAGGAAGCCACGGCUAACUACGUGCCAGCCGCGGC
rnacentral:rRNA from 1 species